GAGGGACCCCUGAACUGUUAGCUGCUAAAUGGUAAACUAGGUGCUGAAAAGGCAGCAGAAGAAAAUGACAGCAAACCAAUCAGUACGUUUUAUUCCACAAUCACAGCAUUGUCAUUAUCUCCAAGCUGAACGGAGGGGUUUAGUUUCUCUUGGUGGCGUUCCACAGCAGUAAGGCGGCCCAACAACAAGACUCCAUCCUCCUCAUCACUGAGGAUAUUGAAGGUGCACGCAUUUCUGGAGGCCUGUUCUGCCAUCCUUUAUAUUCUGGAGGCCUUAUAUUUACUUUGUGUUUACAUAGCUCUAAGGUGUCUUAUUGGAUUUAUGUCAGACAACAUAACUGGCCAAGUCAUAGUUUUCAAGAUUUUUUUCGUCUUCAGAAGCUCUCUCUGAUUUUGUGUUGUUGCCAUGCUAGAAUAUUCUGCUAUUCUGGGGGAUUAUGGGAGUCACCUUGUCAGCCAGUGUUUCUGUAUAUCUGUAUAUUCGAUAUACCAUCGAAAGUCUUCAUAUUUGUCAGUAUUCUUUUCACCUUCAGUAAAGUUUAAGCUGGCACUUUUGUGCUGAAUGCAAAGGAAGGUUUCUUGGCUUGGACUCUGUGCACAGACGAUGACGUAGUGCAGUGUCACACAAACUCUAAUUCCCAUUGAUAUCUCAUGUGCCAAGUCGAAAGGCACAGCCCCGUCUGCUUUUCAAAGCUAAUAUGGUGGAGUAGUGCACUGCAGUGGCCAUGGCAGAGGAUAGUUACUGCAGCGCUGAUAAGAGGUAGACUGGCUGUCUACACAACAUAAUUACUGCUGCAACUGUGUUUCGACUGAGUUUUGGCUGCUCACUGAUCUCACUGUAUCCAGGUCUCUGAAAACUCUCAAUCUGAUUUUUCAGUUCCUCUGUCUGUUUGUUCUGAACUUUUGUAUAUUUCAUGAUGUAAAGUUACUAAUGUAGCCCAUAGCUCCAACUUUGAGGACAUUCUAGUGUUUACAGGUACUUUUAUAACCAUAUUCAUGCCAUUUAUACUAACUGGAAGUCGUAGUUUUACCCCAUUUUAUUCAGUGAUGAAUGUUUUUAAACUUUGAUUAUUUGAUUUUUUUUUA